UGUGUGGUAGCUGAAGUCCGUGGUGUAGAUGGUGAAGAGGAAGGGAGAGAGGACAGUCCCCUGAGGGGCCCCAGUGUUGCUGACCACGCUGUCCGACACACAGUGCUGCAGGCGCACGUGCCGUGGUCUGCCAGUCCAAAUAGCUACAUGAAUCACAAUAGUGAAAAGAGUAGAUGAGCAGACAGUGUCUCCUGAAGCUUUUUUUCCACAGCAAUUCACACAGGUUCUCUUAUCACUUCUCUGAGUGUCGCGUGUGAAUGUUUGAACACAGUAGUUUAUCGGUGACCUGUCAGAGAAGAGGUGGAGUUUGAGUGGUUUGCAGUGUGAUAAGGAGGUUUCACUGACUUUCUCACUAGUAGCAGUAUGAAAAAAACACAGAAUACAAUGUGAAAAACAAGUAUGUACAGUUUGUUUUCAUGAUGAUUAAUACUUUGUCCUAAUUCCAGACAACAUUCUAAUUGUAGGUUUUGACUAUAUAAUGUGUGGAAAAGUGACAAAAUUAAGUAUAUUCAAAACUGUCAGUAUACACACUAAAAAAUCUUGAUUUUUGAGUGUGCAGUUGAUGGACACUUGUCCCACAAUGUAACAAUGCACAUAAAAAAUGGAGGAGCUGCUCACAGCUGCAAAACAUAAAACAACAGCUUCUUCCUGAAACAGCAUCAGAGAGAUCUUGGAAAACAUCUAAAAACUAGUUUGUAUGUAGUAUUGAAAUGGGACAGCCCCUUGAGGCUGCAUGUUUAGUACACCACAUAAUAAGGUACUGACAGAACUAACAGCAUACUGAGAUACUGAGCUGACAAUGUGCGUCUCGAGGGUGGAGUUAUCUGGAUAACUUUGGUAAGUAACCCCCCCCUCAUAUCUGAAACAUGGACUCAUGUAAGGACCUCACUGCCUGACCUGAGGUACUGAAUAUACCAGAGUAUGUCUAAACACAGCGUUAGAAGUCAGUAUAUGCAAAUAUUCAGCAAAAAUGAGUAUAGAGCACGAUCUGCUCACUCUGUCCUGUCCUGACAUUUUGACAAUAGCUAACACACACCCCUUGGAUCGGGAUGUGGGUUGCAGGUUGCAGUGUAUGUAGUGUGUGGAUUGUGUGUGUAGAUUGUGUUUCAUAGACGAUCUGGCAACUUAGGUGAUGUCAGACAAACAUCCAAAACUUGGAUGUGUGUAUUUAUAAUAACGUCUGAGGUCUGUGCAAAUUAUGGGAGUUUCCCGGGAUAUAUAACAACACGGGAGGGCACCAGGAGAUGCCUGUCAUGGUUUAUAUUUGUUUUGUGGUUGAAAUCAAAAGUUCAGAGGCAAAGUCAUCAGAGUUCAAGACAUUUAUUGAAAUCAUUAACGACCUGAAUUGAUUUGCGAAGCUACUGAAAUCACACAAGCAUACAAUUCAGUAUUUGCAUCUUGUCAUAGAGGGUUAUAACUGCAUGCACCAAUUACAGCAGAUCCUGAACGCAUACCUCUUGAUCUUCUGAUUAUCUUUUUUGAUGUCAUGGCGUGGCCAGCCUUGUUCUGUGUGUCACAUUCAAACUAAGAGCACAAACACUGUCUUUUUGUCUAGACUUCGCAAUGUUAUCCCCAAGGCUUGCUUGAUGAGUCCAAACUUCGGAAUGUCAGCCUCAUGGCUUGCUUAACUUCACCAACCAAGCCUCUAAGACACAGUGCUCUUUUUUUCAAGGUGCAAGGUCAUCAUAUGCUGUAUCACACAAAACCAAGAAUAUCAUUGCACAUGAACAAAGUUGAUAUUAUAAUGAUAAUAUUGUGAACAUAAAACAUAAAAAGUAUUAACUAUUAACUAUGAGUUUCCACCACAGUUUCCUGUUUUAUUUAGAAAUAUUCUCCUUCUCUCAUGUGUCUUGUAGUUUUGCUUCCUGUCUUAGCUUGUCUUUCCAGCCAGUUUUGAUUGUUUGCGCCGCCCUGAUCGUUUUCACCUGUGUCUCGUUGUCUCCCUUCACCUGAGUGUAUUUAAGUGUGUGUGCUUCCUUUGUUCUGUGUCAGUUCGUCAUUCUUAUGUCAAGCAUCCUGGCCAUUGUUACCUGUGUGUUCUGUUGGAUUUGUCUUCUGUUUCUCUGGAACCUUGCCAGGAUUUUGGAUUUUGUUCUUUGCCUGCUCCCUGUCGGAUUUGUUUGCCUUUUUUGGACUGCUUCCCUGAUUUCGACCUCUGCCUUCCUGAAAUCUGUCUUUCCUUUUUCUUCCAAACUUGAGUAACUUGUGUGUCAGGGCACCGCUGCAGAUCAGCU